UUAAACUUUUUUCAUUCAAAGUGUUUACUUGAUAACACAGAAUAAAAAUUUAAAAAUAUUUUUUUUCUUUUAAAAAUUUUUUAUACAACUUACCAUCGAAUAGUUAGCAGAAUAUAUGAUAAGCUGCGCAGCUAUAACAAUAAUAAAAAAAAUGCCUUCAACAUAUUAAAUGGCCAAUUUGCAUAAAAAAUUCACUAAUUUUGGACUUUUGCAAAAUCGGACCACCUUUUUCGUUUUUCCAGAUUCGGUUCACUUUUUCAAAAAGAUGAUCAAACUACCUCUCUUUCAAAAUGCAUAAGAAGUACAUGCAUUAAUUAUCUUGAAAAAUGCAGCUGACAAGUCAUUAUUACAGUUAUCUUUUUCUUGAAAAAUAAAAUUCUCAUUAACAUACAAAUAAAAAAUUUCAAAUAAUAAAAGUAAAAAAGAAAGAAUGGAAUACACCUUAAAUGGUGCAAUAUCGUUCCAAAUUGUGCAAUAUUUCUUCCAAAUAGUGUAAUAUUUGUGUAAACAGUGCAAUGUUUGCACAAUUUAUAUAACAUUGCAUAAUUUUUUAUACUAAAUUACGAAUAAUAUAGUAUACUACGCGCAAAUAAUAUAACAUAUUACAAUAUACUAUAAAAAUCAUGUAUUAUAUGUAUAAACGGUAAAUAUUUUGCACUAUUUGUAUAAAUAUUUACACCAUUUGCAUAGAUAUUGCAUUAUUAUGAGAGAAUGUUGCACCAUUUAGAUAUUCUGUUGCACUCUUUCUUUUUAAAAAUUAAAAUAUAUUGUAUAUUAAAUAAAGUGUUAAAUUUUUUGAAGAUGACAACUGUUAAUUCAUAAUUACAUGUACCUUUCUUGAGAUACGAGAAUCCUCAUUUAAUUAAGAUAAAAUAAAAAAUAAAAUAUCAUUAAUAUAAUGAAAGAGUGCAACAUCCUCUUAAAGAGUGCAAUAUAGUCUCAAAUAGUGCAAUAUUUAUGUAAAUAGUGUAAUAUAUGCAUCUUUAAUACACAUAUUGCAUGAUUUUUAUACAAAAUUACGAAUAAUAUAAUAUAUUACGUGAAAAUAACACGAAAAUAAUAUAACAUAUUAAAAUAUACUAUAAAAAUCAUGCAUUAUAUGUAUAAACGGUGAAUAUUUUGCACUAUUUGUACAAAAAUUUACACCAUUUGCAUAGAUGUUGCACUAUUAUGAGAUAAUGUUGCACCAUUUAGAUGUUAUGUUGCACUCAUUCUUUUUAAAAAUUAAAGUGCAUUGUAUAUUAAAUAAAGUGUUAAAUUUCUUGGAAAUGACAACUGCUAAGUCAUAAUUACAUGUACCUUUCUCGAGAGACGAGAAUCCUCAUUUAAUUAAGAUAAAGUAAAAAAUAAAGUAUCAUUAAUACAAUGAAAGAGUGCAACAUCCUCUUAAAGAGUGUAACAUAGUCUCAAAUAGUGCAACAUUCUCUUCCAAAUAGUGCAAUAUUUAUGUAAAUAGUGCAAUAUAUGCAUCGUUAAUACACAUAUUGCAUGAUUUUUAUACAAAAUUACGAAUAAUAUAAUAUAUUACGUGAAAAUAACACGAAAAUAAUAUAACAUAUUAAAAUAUACUAUAAAAAUCAUGCAUUAUAUGUAUAAACGGUGAAUAUUUUGCACUAUUUGUACAAAAAUUUACACCAUUUGCAUAGAUGUUGCACUAUUAUGAGAUAAUGUUGCACCAUUUAGAUGUUAUGUUGCACUCAUUCUUUUUAAAAAUUAAAGUGCAUUGUAUAUUAAAUAAAGUGUUAAAUUUCUUGGAAAUGACAACUGCUAAGUCAUAAUUACAUGUACCUUUCUCGAGAGACGAGAAUCCUCAUUUAAUUAAGAUAAAAUAAAAAAUAAAAUAUCAUUAAUACAAUAAAAGAGUGCAACAUCCUCUUAAAGAGUGUAACAUAGUCUCAAAUAGUGCAACAUUCUCUUCCAAAUAGUGCAAUAUUUAUGUAAAUAGUGCAAUAUAUGCAUCGUUAAUACACAUAUUGCAUGAUUUUUAUACAAAAUUACGAAUAAUAUAAUAUAUUACGUGAAAAUAACACGAAAAUAAUAUAACAUAUUAAAAUAUACUAUAAAAAUCAUGCAUUAUAUGUAUAAACGGUGAAUAUUUUGCACUACUUAUAUAAAAAUUUACACCAUUUGCAUAGAUGUUGCACUAUUAUGAGAUAAUGUUGCACCAUUUAGAUGUUAUGUUGCACUCAUUCUUUUUAAAAAUUAAAGUGCAUUGUAUAUUAAAUAAAGUGUUAAAUUUUUUGAAAAUGAUAACAGCUAAGUCAUAAUUACAUGUACCUUUCUCGAGAGACGAGAAUCCUCAUUUAAUUAAGAUAAAAUAAAAAAUAAAAUAUCAUUAAUACAAUAAAAGAGUGCAACAUCCUCUUAAAGAGUGUAACAUAGUCUUAAAUAGUGCAACAUUCUCUUCCAAAUAGUGCAAUAUUUAUGUAAAUAGUGCAAUAUAUGCAUCGUUAAUACACAUAUUGAAUAAUUUUUUAUAUAAAAUUACGAAUAAUAUAAUAUAUUACGUGAAAAUAACACGAAAAUAAUAUAACAUAUCACAAAAUACUAUAAAAAUCAUAAAUUAUAUUAUAAACGGUGCAUAUUUUACAUUAUUUGUAUAAAUAUUUACACUAUUUGUAUAUAUACUGCACUAUUAUGAGAAAAUAUUGCACCAUUUAGAUGGUAUAUUGCACUCUUUCUUUUUAAAAAUUAAAGUGCUUAUCUAUUAAAUAAAGAGUGUAAUUUCUUGAAAAUGACAACUGCUAAAUCAUAAUUGCAUGUACCUUUCUCGAGGGACGAGAAUGAUCAUUUAAAACAAUAUACAAAAAGUAAAAUAUUGUUAAUAAGAUGAAAAAGUGCAACAUUCUCUCAAAUAAUGCAAACAUCCUCUUAAAUGGUGCAACAUUAGAGAGAAUGUUGCACUAUUUCAUUCUAAUGUUGCAAUCUUUCAUUAUAUUAAUGAUAAUUUAUUUUUUAUUUUAUCUUAAUUAAAUGAGGAUUCUCGUCUUUCGAGAAAAGUACAUAUAAUUAUGACCUAGCAGCUGUCAUUUCCAAGAAAUUUAACACUUUAUUUAAUAUACAAUAUACUUUUAUUUUUUUAAAAAAAGAGUGCAACAUAACAUCUAAAUGGUGCAACAUUAUCUCAUAAUAGUGCAACAUCUAUGCAAAUUGUGUAAAUUUUUGUACAAAUAGUGCAAAAUAUUCACUGUUUAUACAUAUAAUGCAUGAUUUUUAUAGUAUAUUUUAAUAUGUUAUAUUAUUUUCGUAUUAUUUUCACGUAAUAUAUUAUAUUAUUCGUAAUUUUGUAUAAAAAUCAUGCAAUAUGUGUAUUAACUAUGCAUAUAUUGCACUAUUUAUAUAAAUAGUGCACUAUUUGGAAGAGAAUGUUGCACUAUUUGAAACUAUGUUACACUCUUUAAGAGGAUGUUGCACUCUUUCAUUGUAUUAAUGAUAUUUUAUUUUUUAUUUUAUCUUAAUUAAAUGAGGAUUCUCGUCUCUCGAGAAAGGUACAUGUAAUUAUGACUUAGCAGUUGUCAUUUCUAAAAAAUUUAACACUUUAUUUAAUAUAUAAUGCACUUUAAUUUUUUUAAAAAAAGAGUGCAACAUAACAUCUAAAUGGUACAACAUUAUCUCAUAAUAGUGUAAUAUCUAUGCAAAUGGUGUAAAUAUUUGUAUAAAUAGUGUAAAAUUUUUACCGUUUAUACAUAUAAUACAUGAUUUUUAUAAUAUAUACUAUAUUAUUCAUAAUUUAGUAUAAAAAAUUGUGCAACAUUAUAUAAAUUGUGCAAACAUUGCACUGUUUAUACAAAUAUUACACUAUUUGAAAGAAAUAUUGCACAAUUUGGAACGAUAUUGCACUAUUUAAGGUGUAUUCCAUUCUUUCUUUUUUACUUUUAUUAUUUAAAAUUUUUUAUUUGUAUGUUAAUGAGAAUUUCAUUUUCUAAAAAGAAGGUAACUGUAAUAAUAACUUGUCAGCUGCAUUUUUGAAGAUAAUUAAUACAUGUACUUCUUAUGUAUUUUGAAAUAGGAGUAGUUUGGUCAUUUUUUUGAAAAAGCGGACCGAAUCUGCAAAAACGAAAAAUAUGGCCCGGUUUUGCAAAAGCCCAAAACUAGUGAAUUUUUUAUGCAAAUUGGCCAUAUUAAAUUAUACAAAAAUAAU
rnacentral:lncRNA from 1 species